GGGGGGGGGGGGGGGGGGGGGGGGGACGGGCGGGGCGGGCGGGGGCGCGGGGGGGCGGGCUGUGGGGGGGGCGGGGGGCGGACGGGUGAGGGAUACAGCGGCAUCUGCCCAGUCGUGGGGGAUGACGUAGGGAAACUGACGCUAAUACCGCAUACGACCUUCGGGAGAAAGGGGGGGCUCGCAAGACCUCCCGCGCUUGGAUGAGCCGCUGUCGGAUUAGCUAGUUGGCGGGGUAAUGGACCACCAAGGCGACGGUCCGUAGCUGGUCUGAGAGGAUGAUCAGCCAGACUGGAAAUGAGACAAGGUCCAGACUCCUACGGGAGGCAGCAGGGGAGAAUAUUGGACAAUGGGCGCAAGCCGGAUCCAGCCAUACCGCGUGGGUGAAGAAGGCCUUCGGGUUGUAAAGCCCUUUUGUUGGGAAAGAAAUCUUUCAGGCUAAUACCCUGGGAGGAUGACGGUACCCAAAGAAUAAGCACCGGCUAACUUCGUG
rnacentral:rRNA from 1 species